ACGAACGCUGGCGGCGUGCUUAACCCAUGCAAGUCGGACGGAAAGGCCCUGCUUUUGUGGGGUGCUCGAGUGGCGAACGGGUGAGUAACACGUGAGUAACCUGCCCUUGACUUUGGGAUAACUUCAGGAAACUGGGGCUAAUACCGGAUAGGAGCUCCUGCUGCAUGGUGGGGGUUGGAAAGUUUCGGCGGUUGGGGAUGGACUCGCGGCUUAUCAGCUUGUUGGUGGGGUAGUGGCUUACCAAGGCUUUGACGGGUAGCCGGCCUGAGAGGGUGACCGGCCACAUUGGGACUGAGAUACGGCCCAGACUCCUACGGGAGGCAGCAGUGGGGAAUAUUGCACAAUGGGCGGAAGCCUGAUGCAGCAACGCCGCGUGCGGGAUGACGGCCUUCGGGUUGUAAACCGCUUUCGCCUGUGACGAAGCGUGAGUGACGGUAAUGGGUAAAGAAGCACCGGCUAACUACGUG
rnacentral:rRNA from 1 species